rnacentral:rRNA from 1 species
CCUACGGGAGGCAGCAGUGAGGAAUAUUGGUCAAUGGCCGGAAGGCUGAACCAGCCAUGCCGCGUGAAGGUCAGUGCCCUAUGGGCGUUAAACUUCUUUUGUGCGGGAGCAAUAAUGGUCACGUGUGGCCAGACGAGAGUACCGUACGAAUAAGCAUCGGCUAACUCCGUGCCAGCAGCCGCGGUAAUACGGGGGAUGCAAGCGUUAUCCGGAUUUAUGGGGGUUAAAGGGUGCGUAGGCUGUGAGGUAAGUCAGCGGUGAAAUGCCCCCGCUCAAAGGGGUGAAGUGCCAUUGAUACUGCCUUGCUUGAAUGCGGAUGCGGUGGGAGGAAGGUGUGGUGUAGCGGUGAAAUGCAUAGAUAUCACACAGAACACCGAUUGCGAAGGCAUCUCACGAAUCCGCGAUUGACGCUGAUGCACGAAAGCGUGGGUAUCAAACAGGAUUAGAUACCCUUGUAGUC